rnacentral:lncRNA from 1 species
GUAAGGGUGCUGUAGCUGUGCCUAAUGGAGAGAAGUCUUGGCAGUCACACACUGAGGAUGGGACCUGCACCGUUUAACCUGACCUGAAGGAGAGCAGUGGGUUUCAAUGAGAAGAUCUGGCCAGGUGAUGUACAGCAAUACAGGAAGCAGGAAUUAUGAGAACAUCUGCAUUUGACUGGAGACAUUGGACAAGGCUGAAUUUGGACACCAGACAAUUUGGAUGUGGUGCCCAGGCUUAAACGCAUAUAGAGAUGGAGACCAUUUUUAAACAACUUGACUGAACAUGCUCUUGAACAUAUGGAAAUGAUUAUUUCAUCAUUUUGAAAAUGAUGCUGUUUGUCUGACUGCUGUACAAUCACAGAGAACUGUUUAAAGCACUGAAGGAUUAUUAAUCCACGUUAAAAAAGGAACUUUCAUCAAAGCAAGACGAUGUUCAUUGUGACAAAACUAAGGGCAAUGUAGCAACU